UACAGAGACUGCAAGCGUUAUUCGGAUUCACUGGGCGUAAAGGGUGCGUAGGCGGUCGGGUAAGUCUGAUGUGAAAUCUCACAGCUUAACUGUGAAACUGCAUUGGAUACUAUCCGGCUAGAGGAAUGGAGGGGAGACUGGAAUACUUGGUGUAGCAGUGAAAUGCGUAGAUAUCAAGUGGAACACCAGUGGCGAAGGCGAGUCUCUGGACAUUUCCUGACGCUGAGGCACGAAAGCCUGGGGAGCAAACGGG
rnacentral:rRNA from 1 species